rnacentral:tRNA from 1 species
GAGUGUGUAGCUCAGUGGUAGAGCGCAUGCUUAGCAUGCAUGAGGUCCUGGGUUCAAUCCUCAGUACCUGCA